rnacentral:rRNA from 1 species
GAGCGAACGUUAGCGGCAGGGCUUGAACACAUGCAAGUCGAACGAGAAUGAGGGCUUCGGCUCUCUAGUAAAGUGGCGGACGGGUGCGUAACACGUGGGUAAUGUACCUUCCAGCGGGGGACAACCGUCCGAAAGGAUGGCUAAUACCGCGUACGUCGGCGAGGGCUCCGGUCCUUGUCGGGAAAGAUGGCCUCUCCUUGGAAGCUAUCACUGGAAGAUCAACCCGCGGCCCAUCAGCUAGUUGGUGAGGUAACGGCUCACCAAGGCUAAGACGGGUAGCUGGUCUGAGAGGAUGAUCAGCCACACUGGGACUGCGACACGGCCCAGACUCCUACGGGAGGCAGCAGUGGGGGAAUAUUGGGCAAUGGGCGAAAGCCUGACCCAGCCACGCCGCGUGAGUGAUGAAGGCCUUCGGGUCGUAAAGCUCUGUGGGGAGGGACGAACAAGCCGGGCGCUAAUCACCCUGGUCCUGACGGUACCUCCUUAGCAAGCACCGGCUAACCCUGUGCCAGCAGCCGCGGUAA